GGAACAUAAUUUCCUACUUCACAAACAGGGGCUUCACAUAGAGCUAUCCUUCCAAAGGAUACUGCAGGGAAAGAAGAGACUGCAUGGAAAGAGGAGAAAAAGAGUAGUUGUAUAUUGGAAAAGCCUGACAAAUACUACCUCAAUUGGGUGAUCAAGCCCUUAAUCUCAGAUCAGUCAUGAGAAAGACAUCAAACAAAUCCAAAUGGGGGACAUUCUGCAAAAUAACUCACCAGUACUCCUCAAAACUAUAAAGGUCAUCAAAAACAAGGAAACUCUGAGAAAUUGUCAUAGCCAAGAGGAGCCUGAGGAGAUAAUGACAACUAAAUGCAAUCUAGUAUCCUGGAUGAGAUGCUGGAAUAGAAAAAGAACAUCAGGUGAAGGAUAGGCUCUGGGAGACUCCCAGCAUUGUCAGUGCCAGAAGCAGAGGAAUGGGGACUGGAACCCAGGUGUCCUGGCACCAAGUCCAGCGCUCCUUGUUAUACUUAGCCAUCUCUCAAGGGGAAAUACAUAAUAUACUCCUGGUGCUUCUACUUGGAUUAUAUUGGAAAGAAAGUUGGCAUGAAUAAAUAUCUCUAGUUUACGAACACAAAUAACUUUCUUUUUUGCCAAUCUCUACUAUUUAAAUAGUGUCAGUAUACUAGUGGUUCUUCUUAAUAACUGUCUAUUAUAAAUAGUCAAUAUUCUGGGCAAUGUAAUGCUCGAUUAAUAUUACAUUCUGUUUUCUCAGUGAUGCACAGUUGAAAUCCAGAAACUAAGCUCUGUGAGGAUGGUAAACAUUCUUCUCAACAUUAAAUCCUUUGAUGUUGAAAAAGAAUAUGCAUUAAAGUAUCCUAAAAUAUUAUAUAAUAACUUUAUAAUAUAAGUUAACACAAGCUCAUCAUUCUGGUCCAUUAUUUGGCACAUGGCUUUAUUCUUUCAUAGUUUCUUCUUACCUGAGGACUUCUGUUCCUCCUCAGUAGAUGUAGUCCACUUACCUAUCAUGACUUUACUGCUGCUUGAUUUCAUUUUCUAACCUAUUUUAUGUGCGAGGAAAAUCAUUCAUAAUAGCUUGUGUGUGACUGUGUUUCACCUCUAGUCAAUGACCAUUUUUAUUCAAACUAUUUUAAACGAUGUUUUGGAAUCGGUCCAUCCCUUGCCUUUGCGUAUAUUCUAUAUCUUUUUCUAACUUUCCCAAAUGACUCACUUUUUGCUUUUGUUUUUAAUUAGAGGCUCUUCUUAUGGUUUCUUCCUGAGUAUCCCCUUUGGAGCUAGGCAGAUAUUGUUUUGCACAGCAGAAUGUCCAGCUGAGAACAAAAAUACAGACCUGUGUUUUUUGCAACAAUCUUUAAGUGGGUUUAAUCAGAAUGCAGUUUUACAGUUCAAAUAUAUCCAUAUUUCAAAGACCACAGAACUUAACAUUAUAUGCUCUCUUUUUCAGCAAUGUGAACAAACCAAACUGUCAAACACUGAACCAGUGGAAAAUGAAUGUACUUCCAAAAUCAUUUCCCUGAUCUACUGCAAACAGCUUGAUCACAUUGGAGAAUGUGACCCAUGCAGUUGCUGAAGCGUGUUUUCCCACUAUACCUCAUGCAGAAAAA